rnacentral:lncRNA from 1 species
GUGGCCAGCUCAACUUCUUCCGCCCUACUCCACAGGCUCCCCAACGGUUUGACGACCACCACUCAGCUUAGCUGGUCUCCAGGCUUGAGCCCGAUGCUCCUGCGUGGACUUCAGAGUCGAUUUGCCUGGGCCAGCGCCCGCGGUCUGUGAGAUCUCAGAAUGAAAAGAGGGAAGGAGUUAGAAGGACACACAGAGAGACCGGAGGUGAGAGGGCACACGCAGAGGAGCAUAAGCUCUCCAAACACACACCCCGCUCUGUCCUCCGGUCUGGGCUCCCUCGCAGCAGCGCUGACUCUCAGUACUGGUCCUUCUCUCCCCUCUCCCAGGCCCGGGGACAAUGUAGAGCCUGUAUUUUCAGGAGCCGCGCGGGGCGGCAGGGUUUUCAGCAGCCAGCCGGGCUCCGAGCCGCUGUUUGUCCAGGUGUGGGCGGGGGGCGGCGGGCUCCCAGCGGCCAGUCCCCGGCUGGCGCUGGAUUUUCUCACCAAGGAAGCGGGAGGCUCUCCUCGCGGCUUCCCGCUUCCAGGAGAAAACUCCCUCCUUCCCUACAUACAUGCAUAUAUUAGUGGAACAGACAAAUCUUCAUUGUUCGGAAAUAAGCCGAGGAGGCCGGCCGACUCCCCCUGGCCCAGCCGAACGAGAACAGCAAGUGGAUGGGAAAGAACCUUGACAACACAAAACUCAUUUACUAAUGGACUGGUUUUGAGUUUCUCUUCUCGGGGUCCGCAAAUCUCCCUGCCUGAGUCCUCCGCCCAUUCAGACCUCGCAGGGAGCACGGUCCCCCAGGAGGCAGAUAUCCGUAGGUAGAGCAGGAUCCCCGCGGUAGUUCUUCUUGUUGGCGAAGCAAUUCCAAGAAAGCGGGCCGGGAGCCCCAAAGCAUCUCUCUCCAAGCCAGAGGGGAAACAGAUGGGCUCCACACAGAGGUUUCUGAACCAAGGCCUUAUACCGACCCAGCCGAGAACCCCUGCCAGCAACUAGUGCAUUGGCCUUUUGCAUAAAGCAGCUGAGCGCACCGGGCCGUUACUUGCACAGAGGAGGCACAGAAGAGCCCGAGCCCGGCGUCGGGUGCCGGUUGUCGGUCGCCAGCCGCGUUACCCUCGGGAGCCGCCGAGAAGCAGCAAGGGCAGGAGCUAGUUGCUCGUUCCCUUUAAAUCUCCGACGCAUCUCCGUUUUUCGUGUGAUUUGCAUUGACAGCAAAGGUUUUAAGUUACUAGAACAACUCAAAGCUUUCUGUGUACGAUUUAAAAUGGAUCAUUUGGUUUAUGUGGUUUGUAAAUUCAUGUCAUUUUACCUCUUUUAGUGGUUUUCACUGAAAGGCUCCAUUUUGGGAAACCUUAUAUAUCCGAGCCAACAAUUAACAUUUAUAACAAUUGGUUUCCCUAACCAAGGGAUCGAAAUAGUAGGUAGGUUCAUUGGUACAAAGCGAAUAGCACUUCUCCUUUCUAGUUACGCGAUCUAUUGGAUUAAACGCAAGGAGAAAGGCCGGCGGGUCCCGGCUCGGCCUCUGAGGACAAGCACCACAUCUCAUCAACCUCGGUGCACCCACUUGCGGCACCCACGCGGUCAUCUCCCCAGUUGUCGCCAACAUAUCUCACGUCCGCGUUCCUUUUGAAGAAAGAUGAAAAGAAGCGGGCAGAGAGGUCUGGAGGAAGCAGAAAAAAAAAAAAAAAAAAGGUGGUCCUAUUGGUGUCUAAUUGCCAUCUUUCUGCUCCUCGUCAUCCCCUGUAAAUUUAUACCUGCCCUUAUUUGUCCAAGCUACGCCUCAUUUCCUAAUACAAAAUUGUUAAUUAUAAAGUACACCCCACACUCAACUUACCGUUUGUCUUUUAAGAGAUGAGACUGUACUUACAGACCCUCCACUCCCUAUGCACACAUUUUAAUUCUGCGCACUUGCUCCGGACUUGAGGGUAUUAACUGAUUUUUAGAGCCGAGUUUAAGCCUCCGUUCUGGUCUUCACACAGCUGCCAUGUCAAUAAGGACUAUUGAAAACAGAGAUGUUCCUUCUGGCAGGACACUGCAGCUCCUUAGGAGCUGAAACAUCAUGAGCACUAAAAUAAGACAGCGAGGGAAAAUUACCAGACACAUGGGUUUGGGCUCAGCCAUGCCAGGCUUCCAGUUUAGAAAGUAAGUCAUUGGACACACCAUAGGGUUGGGGCUCUUUUGAAAUAAUAUGCACCAAAAAAGAGAGAAAAGAAAAAGAGAGAGAAAGAAAGGAAGGGACAAAGGAAAAGAAAUACUAAUGCACCCAUUAACUGUAUUUUAAAAAUAACUCUAAAGGUAAUGAAAUAUCAGCAUCUAUUUCCAAGGUCUAAUUGCAUGGGAUACUGCAGAAUUUUAAGGAUGCAAAAUGCACUGUGUGGGAGUUCAGAGGAGAAGCAGCUUCUCUCUACUUGGAAUCUCUGGAGAGACAGUCAGGAGGGUGAAACCCUUCAUGAGUUUAAAUGUGCAUUGCAGGGUGCACUAAACUGGGUGCAUUAUUGUGAAACCAUAUAAAUAAUACAGGGGGAAACUUACGCAGUGCCCACUUAAGUCUCAAUAUAUAAAUGGUUCUGUGGAGCUGGGUUCUGGCUCAUGUAAUCAAAACAUAUUUGAAGAAGACAAGCAAGUUUAAAGAACCUAGAGUUUGUUCUUCACAUUCACUAAGAGGGUGCAUUUAAAUCAAAAGCAUUUUUGAAGUGUACUUAAAAUUCUGUUUUGCACUUAUCUAAUCAGAGAUAAGUAUGGUUAUAAAGUCACUCUCCAUCUACCAUUCUGCUCCCCUUAUCUUCCCACAUUGUUCUUAUCUGCUGCCAGUCUCAGCUACUGACAAUAGAUUAUCUUUGUUUAGAGACGCU